CGUCCGGGCGAAGGAAGGAAGGAGGGCGCGGGGCGCCUGGAGGGAGCCGCGCGGGGCCGGGGCUCCCACGCUUGAGGUCCCGAGGGACCUGGGGCCAAGGGCGCUGUGAGGCUUGGCGGAGGGCGGGGAGGGGGGGCUCGGGCCUCUGCUCUCUUCGUCAGCAACCCCGACCGCCGGGGGAGGGGCAGUGUGCUUUGCCAGGUGCGUCGCCCCGUCAGUACAAAAUCUCUGAGCCAGCUCAGCUGUCUUUUAAAAAGAAGACAUGUCUUAAGAAGGAGCAAUCUGCAAGCCAGCCAGAAGCAAAGACGCCACUGAUUGACCUGUGGAAAGCGCUCCUAUUCAUCCACUGCUAAAUGCAUUCUAAGAAUGCUGACUGCAUUAUUCAGCCAUGGAAGAACUCCACUCAGAGGGAGUCGUGAUAAAUCAGAGCAUCAGCCCUUUCCGCUUGGACACCAAUAAGUCCUGCACUUCAAAAUUGCUGACCUAAAAAGGAUGCUCAAGAAGGAGCAAGUUUUUUUUUUUUUUCCUUGUAAAGAAAGCAACACCAGAAGCAGUGUGACUUCCUUGUUCACUUAGAUGCAUGCAAAAAAGAAAAGGUCGCUGUCUUUGCUUCAGGACUUUCUUCCUUCCACCCUCACAGCAUGAGCUUGUGGACUGCCUGCUGAGGAACAUCCUACUGAGAAGAACCUCCAGAUCAUUCCGUGAGAUGGUAACAGAAAGGAACCAAGGUGAAAAGAGGGGUGGUGUGGGGAACUUCCCUGGAGAUCCGGUGGUUAAGACUCUUCUUCCACUGCAACAGGUGUGGGUUUGAUCCCUGGUUGACUGAAUGGCGUGGCCAAAAAGCAAAAAUAAAAGAUGGUGUGAGAUUCCCUCAACCUUCUGGUAAUUGA